UAGGCAAACCAUUAGGUAACUAAUUAACUGUGUCAAUUUUUGAGAAACUACAACCAGACUAGGCUUAAUUCAGACUUCUCAUCUGAGAAAUAUGUGAUAAAUCAGCAUGUCCUAACGCUUUAAAUUUAAUUCAGACCAUAACCAGUAUUUGAAGUCAUGUUAUAUAAUUUGCUCUUUUAUGUGAGGAGGCCUAUUUGAGCCUGUAACUGCUAUUUGUCUCCCCCCAACUGUUUAUGUAUUUUUUGUUUGUCGCCUUAGACUUUUAUCUUUUUAAACUCUGAAAACCUCAAUUCCCUCCCUUUUAGGAUUAGUAGUCCCAAAUGCCUCCAGGGCAGAUAGGAAUGGGACGGGUAAUAACAUGCAAUAAGUAACGAUAACAUUUCACGCUUUAAUAAAUUAAC
rnacentral:lncRNA from 1 species